rnacentral:rRNA from 1 species
GACGAACGCUGGCGGCGUGCUUAACACAUGCAAGUCGAACGGACAGGCCCCUUUCGGGCUACUCGGAUGGCAACCGGGUAAGUAACACGAGAGUAAGCAUACCUUGCCUACGGGAUAACUUUAGGAACCUGAGGCUAAUACCGGUAAGGAAUCAUAGCUUCAUGGUGGGGGUUGGAUAGCUUGCGCGGGUUUGGAUGGACCCGCGGCUUAUCAGCUUGUUGGUGGGGUAGUGGCGUACCAAGACUUUGACGGGUAGCCGGCCUGAGAGGGCGACCGGCCACAUUGGGACUGCGAUACGGCCCAGACUCCUACGGGAGGCAGCAGUGGGGAAUAUUGCAGAAUGGGCGGAAGCCUGAUGCAGCAAUGCCGCGUGCGGGAUGACGGCCUACGGGUUGUAAACCGCUGUCAGCGGGGGUGAAGCUUUUGUGACGGUACCUGCAGAAGAAGCACCGGCUAACUACGUG